CAACUUGAACAUUAUGUUUUCUUUUUACUGACUUUAGUUUAUGUCCAUGUACAGAAAAGUUCAACAAAUAGCUUUUUUGUCACCUGAGACGCUUAGUGUCAGGAACGGCAGUCCGGUUUGUACAUUAAUAUCCGCUUCACAAUUAACAGAUAUACAUACAUGUGGUCUUCUUCCUGGUCGGUGCGGCAGUGACACAAUGGCGGUGAGGGCCAGUGUUGUGUUUUGGAUUGCCAGUCUCAGUCUUGCAGCAGGUGUGAGACAAAAUGUCGCCCAGGGAAAACCAGCAUGGAUGAGUACCACACGUCAACCCUCACAGUCUGCUGGUAAUGCUGUAGAUGGAGUGAUUAAAGCCUGGAGUGAGACGUAUUCAGUCCACACCGCAGUUAACGAAACUACCGCCUGGUGGAAGGUGGAUCUACAGACACAAGUACAGUCAGCAGAGGUUAACAUCUACUUC